rnacentral:rRNA from 1 species
AGCGAACGCUGGCGGCAGGCCUAACACAUGCAAAUCGAACGGAUCCUUCGGGAUUAGUGGCGGACGGGUGAGUAACACGUGGGAACGUGCCCUUUGGUUCGGAACAACUCAGGGAAACUUGGACUAAUACCGGAUACGCCCUUCGGGGGAAAGAUUUAUCGCCGAAAGAUCGGCCCGCGUCUGAUUAGCUAGUUGGUGAGGUAAAGGCUCACCAAGGCGACGAUCAGUAGCUGGUCUGAGAGGAUGAUCAGCCACACUGGGACUGAGACACGGCCCAGACUCCUACGGGAGGCAGCAGUGGGGAAUAUUGGACAAUGGGCGAAAGCCUGAUCCAGCCAUGCCGCGUGAGUGAUGAAGGCCUUAGGGUUGUAAGGCUCUUUUGUCCGGGAAGAUAAUGACUGUACCGGAAGAAUAAGCCCCGGCUAACUUCGUGCCAGCAGCCGCAGUAA